UCCCCGUUAUCCGAGGCGGUUUCGCUAGAGUGCCCGACAUAACCCGCUGGUAACUAGGGACGAGGGUUGCGCUCGUUGCGGGACUUAACCCAACAUCUCACGACACGAGCUGACGACAGCCAUGCAGCACCUGUGUCCAGGUUCCCUUUCGGGCACACUCCCAUCUCUGGGAGCUUCCUGGCAUGUCAAGGGUAGGUAAGGUUUUUCGCGUUGCAUCGAAUUAAUCCACAUAAUCCACCGCCUGUGCGGGUCCCCGUCAAUUCCUUUGAGUUUUAACCUUGCGGCCGUACUCCCCAGGCGGUCAACUUCACGCGUUAGCUUCGUUACCAAGGAAUUGCUUCCCCGACAACCAGUAUCCAUAGUUUAGGGCGCGGACUAC
rnacentral:misc_RNA from 1 species